UUUGAUAAUACUACUGCGUAAAGGACAGUGAUUGUACUCUACUGCAAUAAUUUUGCUCUUGGUGAUGCGCCAACUAUAUAUCAGGAAUAAGCAUGGACUGUGAAUUCUAUAGUUGUUUAUGCCUUUCUCCCCUUGAAGUGUAUAAUAUGAUAUUGACAAUGUUGGCAGGCUGGUUUUUUCCUGGUACAAUAUAGUCACUUCUGGCAAGAACAUCUAGAUAGACUCUUUCAACUCUAUUCCAGAGGACAACUCAAGGUACUGCUCUUCUUCUUCUUUUUUUAACGUUUCUUUUACUGGUGAGACCGGACUCUUUCAUCAUAGAUCAUGCUGAACUUACAUUUCAUUAAUUGUAGAUAUCUGUGCCUUUCGCACAAUGCAAGGCCCUUACUUUCCUGUUAUCUUAUUCCUUCAGCCUUAUUUUGAUAUCCAAUUCCCUACCAAAAGUCGCUGCCAAACUAAAUCUGUAGAAUCAGUUGGAUGAUUAUCUCUGUGCCUAAGUUGCUAUCGCUGCUGAAUUUCAAAGUUCGCCCAGACUUAAUCUUCUAACUGAAUGCAGGUGGCCAUCGACCCAAAGAGAUUUGUGGGUCUCAAUGCUGUGGCAGAUGCUGUUGAGCAUCUUCAUUCUGGUAAAAGUAUUGGCAAGGUAUGUUCAUUUUCCACGAAUUUUAUGGAUAUUUUGGGCACAUCAUUUGCAAAUUUCAUUACUUUGUUUUUUUUUUUCUUUUCUUGAUGCAUAAUAAAUUUUGUGAAUAUGAACAAAAUCUUAUUCCAGGUGGUGGUCUGCAUAGAUCCAACUUUCACUGAUCAAGUAGCAAGACUGUGAAGUCUGAUCAAGGCUGUUUGAUUGUUUUGUUAAUAACUGUCAAAGUGAAUUACAAAGGGAUCUGUUUGAAAUAAUGUCUCAGAGUGCAUAUCCUUCCAAGCGAUUAUUAGGGAACUGCAGUAAGAGACCUCGAGAAAAUGAAAGUUAAUCUUCAGCAGAAAAAACCAAAAGGCUACAAAGGAAUUGAAGUGAUAAAUAUGAAUUGCCCAUGGCUUUUUGCCAGGCGACAAAAGCUGGUAAGUCCCCUUUAGAUAUUCUGACAACCCUUUUGUGGUCAUUCUCAUAAACAGAACCGUCGCACAAAUGAUUACAAUGUAAGGAAACAUCAUUUUUGAUGUAAACAGAUCGGUUGAAGUGUCCCAUUUAACACCCUGUUUUUUGUUCAGCUGGGCGUUAAUGACGUGGUAGAUCACUGUUUGAUUCUUUUUCUUACAUAAUGCUUUUGGUGUUCAAAAAGCUAGUGACGUUAAUUACCCGCACCGCCCGAUUAACCGCAAAAUAACUUAGGAUGUUUCAGACACAAUGAAAGAUAUGUCUUGUACAACUUUGAUGGUGCAAAAAGCAAGCAUGUUGCUGUUAAUUUUAGAUAGAAUACUACUGAUACAUACUGCUCCCAUGACAAUCAAUGCCCAAGCACAUAGCAGGAACGCGUUGCACUCUUGUUCACUUUCCACCUGUCAAAAUAUCAAAGUAGUUACACUCCUGUGACUGGAAGAGCGCAUGGUACGUGUAUUGAGGGUGGAAGGCAUUCGCAAUUACACACAGCAUGCUAUUGAUCAAGUCAUUACCUCAUUGAAGCAAAGAGGGAUGAUAAACUCUGCAGUUCUGUUCACUUUUGAAUUUAUAUCAUAAGAUAAAAUUAAAAUCGAAUGUAUAAAAAAUACUACUAAGAUUAAAUUAAAAAACUAAUUUUUUUAUUUUUGGUAAGAAUUAAAAAACUAAUUUUUAUUUUUUAAAAUUUUGAAUUUCUUAUAUUAUAGUUCAAAUAUUAUUUAUAUUGAAGUAUAAUUUUAAUUUUAUUAAUUUAAUAAGUUUAUUAUUCGAGAAAAAUAACUUUCCUAUUAUAUAUAUUAAAAAUCAUAUCCAUAUUUAUCCUACCUCUCUAUGAGAUAAUUUUAUUCGGCCUAUAACCUUCUUAUAUCUAAUUUUAUCAUGUGUUGAGUAGACACAAGAAUUUUAUCUUGAUCGUUAAACGCAGUCUUAGAAUGUAUAGGAAUUGCUCUUGGUAAUCUCAUUCCGGUAGAUGUCUACUCUGCUGAUGGUAAAACUUGUAACUGAAAGUGAUAUAUAGAAAAUUAGAUGCAUACUUGCUGUACCAAAAAUUGUUUAGCAUCAAUUUGUCACUCUCUAUAGCAUGCUUCAUAAAUCGUCACAUUCUUUAUAUUUCUUUUAACCCUCUUGUCGGAAGCAAUUGAUGGAACAAAAGCAAUCCAAUUUUUAGGGAGUCAGAAAGAACAGUGUAUUCUUACUUGCUCGAAUCCGUUUGGCGCUUCUUGUUAAGUAUUUGACAUCUGCUUCCCUUUUCUCCUCUUUCCGGACUUCCGCUUCCUUCUUCUCCUUUCCACGGUCUUCUGCUUCCUCCUCGUCCUCCCCUUCAGCGACUUCCGCUUCCUUCUCCUCUGAUUCAUAGGCUCUGACGUUGUGUACCUGCCGAAAGGCAAGCACUAAUUUGUAGUAAAGCCAGCAUAAAAGCUGAGGUGCUAAUCUAAGUACUUCAAGAUGGAUGUUUAAAAUGCCCGGCAAACGACGAGCUGAGCGGUCACUAUCUACGAUUCAUCCGUGCAUGCCCGGGGGUUCAGAAGACUUACCUUAAAUGUCAAAGGCUGGAUCAGUUGAAACACCGGAGCAUCUCCGUCGACAAGAUCAUGAGCAAUGGAGAAACCUCUCCACCCGCCACUAAGGCCAUUCUUGUCAAUGAGAUACUUCGUCUAGAACUCUUCUUCAUCCUCGUCCACGAGGGUCACGGUGUGAUCCCGGUGAGGGAGAUGCUUGUGGCAGAAGUUAUAUGGAAGGCUCUUGAAAACAGGGGAGACAAAUCAUCCAUUAGAAGCUCUGAUAAAUAGCUCUACCAGCUUCUUGUAGAGACUAUUAGCCAGUUUUUAUGCAAAGUCAGCUGCACGGAGGCCUACCCGAAAUUUCGAAGGCUGUGCCCUUUUUCUAAUUACAAGUCAUUAUCGCAUUUUACUACACAUCGAAGGUAAGGGAGGUCCCUCGCUACUACAAACGUAAGGCAGCUUUAUCAAGACUGCAUCCACUACAAAAAAACAGCCGAGGAACAGAAAUGGAUCAAUUACAGCACAUCUCCUGCUGCUUCAAAGCGGUAAGAGUUAGUGCUUAUUGAACUCUUCCAUUACUAUAUUCAUAACCAACAAUCAUUCAAAAUCUUCUUUCCUUCAGACAAACCACAGAUAACUAUUUCAGGAAAAAGCUGCCAAAAAUCCUAAAUUAUGUCCACUUUAACGCAUUCACCCCAAACUAACACAAAAAGCCCAAAACUUGUUCUCAUGUGAUAUAUUUAUUCUAAACUUAUAUCAAUAUGAUGUAUUUACCCAAAAAAAGAAAAAAAAAAGUUCUUGUGACACCAAAAACCAGUUUAGAGUUUAUGGUGUCACCAAAAUAAUUGGAGGUAAAUAUGUUACACAGAUACAAAUUUAGAAUUACUUGUUAUGCAUGCUAAUACAACGAAAUUGCACGUUGUGAUGAGAUUUGUAUGUUGUUAGAUAAUGCACAUUACUAUUGAAAUAGAAUUUGGGAUUUGGGAUUGUCCCUGAUGUUUUGCUCUUUCAAUUUUAUACACGGAUUAUUUUGAAAUCGUUGAGGUUCGACAAUUGGCUAGAGUAAGAAGGGAGGGGAGAGAAAAGAAAAGGAGAGACAAGAAAAUAGGGAAAAAGAAAAGAAUAAAAACAAACAAAUAAAUAGAAGAAUAUUAUUUAAUAUUGUCCAAAUCAGCAUCGGUUGCACCACAUAGAAUGAUUGUCAUUGAAUUGGGAUAAAUGCAAAAAGUUUUGGACUCAAUUGGUAGAAAAAAAAAAGUUUAAGACUGAAUCGGUAUAGUUACAAUAUGUUUAUGACUUUUUUGAUAAUUUUCCUCUAUUUACAUGUUGGUCAAAUGCGUUCUCGCUGUCCUGAUAUAUAUUAGGUGUUUUUGUUUGUUUGCAUGUUGGGAUUGGAUUCCUCAUUGAACUUAAAAUAUACAGGAGGUGUAUAUCUUGUGCAUGCUGUCUAGACUAGAUCCGUCUUGCUUUGCUUGAAAGGUAAAAUGGAAUGUCCGAUUGAUAUGGAUUUGAUUCAUCCAUUAGACUUUGCCUUGACUGCAUUGCAUUCGGAAAUGACAACAAUCACACACGGCAUGACAGAGUGGAGCCGUCACUUGCUCGGUCCAUGAUGCAGCUAUUUCACCUGAGGGCAGGCGACAUAAUUUUUUUUUUUUUUUACCGUCAGAUUCUGCAAAUAAAUGAGAGGGUUACAAAGAAAUAAAUCACAUCAAACCCUACAAAAUCGUUGCAAAUUGAUUGUGGUCCUAAUUUCCAUCAAGCCACCUCAAAAAAAAAAAAAAACUUGGAAUAUUCCAAAUCCAUCGAAUCCCCAACACCUGACCCCGCACUCCCUCGGCAUUCUCCUCGUUAAUUGGGCCGUCCAGACCAGAUUUUCUUUCAUUGAUUCGGCUGGUUUGUUUAUUUUCAGGUGCGAACGGGAGCAUGCCAUGCUCCGUGCGGGGGAUAUAUAAAGCCGUGGGCCAUGACGUGUCGGCAAUGGCGAACCGCCGGAGACAAUUUUAAAGUCAAAGCCUCGCCGCCGGCCCUCGCCUCCGGCCGGAGCGCGAACGAACGAACGAGUGACGACGAGAAGGAAAAGAUCCGCCGUCUCGCUCUUUCUUUCUCAUCCUUUUUGGGCCAAACAACGGCCCCCGGCGGACCCCACCGUAACCAAUAAAAUAUUCAGUGAUGCCAAAGCGCCACGUCAAUUGCUGACGUGCCGCGCUUUUUAUUUAUAUCCAAUAAUAGUGACACGUGUUGGAUGAGGUGGAAUAAAAAAUGAAAAUCUUUUUUUUUUUCAACUUCCUACACCACCCACUCUUCUCCUCUCCUCUGCAAAUCGUUUCUCGGCCAUGGAUGGACGACACGGCCUCCUCCUCCUUCCGGCCACCGCCUGCCCAGCCACUUGAGAAUCCGGUGCGGCCGUCUCCACCGCACAAGCCAGAGGGGACUUGGAACAGUUCAUGGAGUCUCUCUCUCUCUCUGGUGUCUCCUUCCGUUGUCCUCCCUUCAAGUUCCCUUCCGUGAAGCCCAGCCAUGACAGAUCUGGAGCCAUGGCCGUGUUCUCGACAGACCUUGGAGCCAGAUCUGUCGCGGUUAUGGAUUCACAGACGAGGCCGGCCCUCGCCAGAUCUGGGCGAGGGAUGGCCUCGUCAAGACUUGUUCCAUCAUUUUUGAAGGCUCAGCCAUGAUGGCUCGACCGAGAUCUGGAGAAGGCUUAGCGCUCAGCUUUUCCGAAGCUCGGUGAUGACUGGAGGAGGGAGUCGCCGAGAUCUAAAGGUUGGCCAGGUCUGUUGCGGCCAUGGCUUCGCGGUUCCAGAUCUGGAUGCGGCCAAGUGACACCGGAAGGGGCGGAGAUGGUGGCCGCACGGGUGUCCUCUGUCAGGGAGGAAGAUGAAGAGAGAGAAAAAAGAUUUUUUUUUCCCACCUUAUCCAACACGUUUCGAUCUAUUAUUGGAUAUAAAUAAAAAGCGCGUCACGUCAGCAAUUGACGUGGCGCUUUUUGGAACCAGUGAAUAUUUUCUGAUCCGACGACAAAUCGUCAGCGACGGUUACGUUUCUCAUUUCACUAUGACUUCCUUCUUCUUCUUCUUCGAAACAUCGUCGGACGCCGGCAGUACCGCGCGCGCCACCACCCAUGGAGCUCAAGCCCGGCCUUUCCGCUCUCGUCACCGGCGGAGCUUCCGGCAUCGGUAAAAACCUCUCCUCUCCCUCGCUCGUCUCGCCUUCGCCGCCGCCGCCGCCGCCGCCGCCGCCGCCGGCGAUUCACGGCGAUCGGUCUCGUCCGACUAUCGACUCCGAGCUUUCGUCUUCCUUCCGUGUCCGUUGGAUUCUGAUGUUGCCGCCGAUGUCGUCGUCAUGAUCGACGUGCUUUGACCUCGUCGCGAGCUUACGUGUUGAGUAGUGAUGACUGGAUUUUGGCUUUGGAUGGUGUUCUGCAGGUAAGGCUCUGGCGAUAGCGCUCGCGGAGAAGGGGAUAUUCGUGACGGUGGUCGACUUCUCGGAAGACAGGGGAAAGGAGGUGGCCUCCCUCGUCGAGAAAGCGAAUUCCAAGUUCCACUCCAGCUUGGGAUUUCCCUCCUCCAUCUUCGUGAAAUGCGACGUCUCCAACUCGAGUGAGUUUGCCUUGUUGUCUCGAGCUUUUUGGGAUUCUCGGGUUUACGGAGAUCGUGGUGAUGGAUGUUGUCUUGUUUGGUGAGCAGGGGAUGUCGUCAACGCCUUCGAGAAGCAUGUCGCGACCUACGGGGGACUGGACAUCUGUAUCAAUUGCGCCGGCAUCGCUACCCCGGUGCCCUUCCACAAGGAUCAGACCGACGGGACCCGAUUCUGGCGGCACGCGCUGAACGUGAAUUUGGUCGCCGUCAUCGACUGCACUCGCCUCGCAGUAAGUCCGCAAUUUUUCCAAGCACUUCGCUUGGUGAUGCUGCAGUGACCAAGUCGAGCUUUUUGAUUAUUUGCAUGAGAUUAUCAUCUUGUUUUCUCUCUUUCUUUUGUCUUUCGGUCGGAGGGAGCAAUGACACUUCCGAUUGCUAGUGGAUAUUGCUUUACUGUGAGGAAAGUAGCACAAAAUGAUCUGCACUCCUUAACAGGUUAAGGCCAUGGAAUCUGCUGGGAGACCCGGUGUAAUAAUAAACGUGGGAUCUGCUGCAGGUCUUUAUCCUACGUACGCUGAUCCUAUCUAUUCUGCCUCAAAAGGUUAGUUCUCAGUUAAUGCCUCCUUUCAUUUUUCAAUUUCAAUUCUGUUUCCCCAGAUAUAUAUAUAGAGAGAGACGGAAUUCCUGCACCAGUGUCCCUCUGGUGAUACCACCUUUUAAUUAUUAAGAGACUUGAUAACAUUGCAGGUGGCGUCGUCUUGUUUACCAGAUCCCUUGCACCCUUCAAGCGCCGAGGAAUUCGCGUCAAUGUACUUUGCCCCGAGGUGCUGUAUUAAACUGGAAGGUUUUGUGAUGCGAUGUACUAGUGUAAUCAAAACUCAGGAAGAUUGUUUAUUUCGAUUGCUCAUCUCGUGCUGUUUGAAAGUCAUCAGCAAUUGACGUAGGCACUUAUAAUGACAUGAUUAUUCAUCUUCCUUUUUGUUUUUUCCCCUGAAGUACUUAAUAUUGAGGAUUCAUUUUUCUGCUCACAAUUCCAGAUUUGUUAAGGGGGGAACUAUUGCCUUCAUGAAUUUGAAUCUUGCUCGAAUUUAUCAGAAUUUUCUCCUUUAUUAAUUUUAAUUUCAAGCAGGGGUAUUAUCAUGACCAGAAACUUCUAUGGACCUUAUGGUAUAUGACUCUUCUUCCGAUGUUCAAUAGUGUCAUUAUCUAGAGCUGAUCUCUCCAAAUACUCGUUCUAGAUCGGGGAAGACCAAUAAUUUGCAAGUUGAUUUUCACUGCAGAAGAAACUCUGUUGUCCUGUUAUGUUUUUGUAUGUUGAAUAACCUUAUGAAAUAAAUUCAUCAUGGUGAUUGGGAAACAUUAUUCUACCACGAAUACCUAACAUAGUUUCUGUGUCUGAGUGUUGGAUAUGUCUGAUUCCUUACACCCUGUUUUUGGAGCAGAAAGCUGAAAAAAUAUGUAACUGUGUUUCUUUUUAACUAGUCGUAGCACUGUUGGAGUGCCUGAAAAGAAUUGUAAGCUGGAGCUGAUUUAUGGAGGGAAUUUCAAGAUAACAUUGCUAGUAUAUGGAAUUGUGCUUGGUCUUUUGAGGGAAUAAACUGUGUUAGCAGUUGUACUUGAUCCCUUUAGGGUGUAAAAUAAUAUACUAAUCUCAGCUAGUCUUUCUUUCUUUACCGAUUCUUGCUUUUCAUUUCCUUCAGGCUGGUCAUUUGGUCUACUGGGAGAUGCUUUGGUGACCGUUUGGUGCAUUAUCUUUAGUAAAUUUCAUUACUCCUAAUGCUGUAGAUCAAUGGGAAGCUUAAUCAUUACUGAAAAAUGUUGAGAAUUGCAUGUGCAUCAAGCUAUCUUCUCCUGUGACCUGGCCCUUUGUUUGAUCGUUGGUUUAGCUUAUUGUAGUCCAGUUUUAUCUGACCUGAUUUCCUUUGCUCCAGAAAAUGUAUUGUGGUGCGUAUGAUGCUUAAUAGAUUCUCUACUUAUGCAGUUUGUUCGAACAGAGAUGACCUUAAAGAUGGAUUCUGACUUCGUAGACUUGAUGGGGGGCUUUUUACCUAUGGAAAUGGUGGUGAAAGGUACAUUGAUAUACAGUCUUCUCCACGUGCUUUACAUCUUAUCGGACUUAUAAAUCAAAAUGAAUGAAAAUGACAUAGCUUUUGUAUGAUCGACACAAAUUCACUCUCUUACUGCAAUCAAAUUUUAUGAGCAUGAGUCGUUUGCUCUGGACUUUGGAGCAUUUAAAAUUUUCUGUAUUAGGAUUUAGAUAUACUAUAGAGAUGCAUACUGGUACAACUACAAAAUUUGUAGAAAAAUUUAAAGAACUGCCAUACAUGAUUAGUGAGGGACUCAUUGGAUCCUGCUCCAAAAAUGUGCUAUCAUAUGUAGAAGGGAUCGCUUCUGAUGGCUAGUCCACUUACACUUUCCAGGAGCUUUUGAACUUAUUACUGAUGAAAGCAAAGGUGGUUCAUGUCUAUGGAUCACAAAGCGCAAUGGCAUGCAAUAUUGGCCCAGUGCAGCAGAAGAGGCAAAAUACCGAGUGAAAUCCUCAAGUUCCACAAGAAGAUUAUUGUACAAAGGACCAGUGAAUUUGCAACUUCCUAAGAAUUUUGAGAAAAUGUGAGUGAAGAUAAUUUGGGGCUACUGUAUGUGUGUACAUAAUUGAACUGUUCAACCAGAGUAGUGUUUAGCUUCUUAUAGCGUAAACCUGGACUGCUUAGGUAUUCCGUAGGUACUCCAUCAGCUACAAUACAUCAUUGCUCUUGUAUAAGUGGAAUGACAAAUUGCCAUGAUGAGUUUAGGCUUGAUGGUCUUCCAUCUCUAUGAGGCUUCUAGACAAACUUCUUUCACAGUUUGACCAUGUUAUGUCAUUUUAUAUCGUAACAGCUUUUCAUUUCCUGGUUCGAUUACCAGGGUAAUGGGUACAGCUUGAACCAUAUCUUUGCUAAGAAUGAUUUCAUUCCCAUCCUCUAUUUAUCUUGUUUUACUUUAAACAUGCACAAAAGAGGAAGUCAGCUUUUGCAGAGUAGAUCUGUGUAUUAAUUUUCAAUGUGGACGUGAACAGUGGACUAAAGUAAUUGUAAGCAAUGACUUACUGCACUUUAAUGGGCUUGACAUUUAUAUCACUGCAAUAGCCGUAUCAAUGCAAUUAUUAAUUGGUCAAAAAAUGAGUAUGCUUUAGAAUCAUCCAUUGAUGGUUUUCCGCUUCUAUAUGUUUGGAUUAAUAGGUGUCAGAGCACCCUCCUUAAGCUGUUAUACUGGUUAUGUUGAUCCUUGAGUUCCAAUUUUCUUUAGUGGAUUUUAGAUUUUUAGUUAAUAACAUGUUUUAUUAUCUGGUAUUCUUAUUGAAUCCUGAAGGGAAUUUUUUCUUAAGCUUCUCUUCCUGAGGAACAAAGUACUUACAACUUAGAAAUUUUGUUUGGGAAUAUAAGCAUUUUAUCAAUUGGAAGAUCUAUUGAUGUAUUUUAAAUUUUUGUAUUCAGCGUGGUUCACACCUUGACUCACAAUUUCCGUGAUGCUACCCGGAUUAUUCGAACGCCUUUGAGGUUGCUGAUUGAACCACAGCAUGUCCUUGUGAAAAUCGUAUAUGCUGGAGUAAAUGCAAGUGAUGUAAGUUCAAGGCUUCUUUUAAGAAUAUUAGCUUUUUCUCAUCCUUUAUGAUUGGUAUUCUUUCAAUUUCAGGUAAAUCUUUCUCAUCCUCUUCACAUAUGCAUAGCUCUGUGUCAGCUGAUCCAUUUGUAAAACUAUGCUUAAAACUUCACCUCGAAAUUUAGCUUUUCUAUUUGUUACUGUAGCAAACAUCAAAAAGCAAAUUGGAUCUUUGGAAUGUGGCUUAUAUACAAUUGAUAGGACUAUCCCUUAAUACAAGCCAACUAAGUUAUCCUUUAACCAGCCUAUGAGUCGAUAGAUGACUGAUAACUCGGCACCAAAGUUAGUGUUCCAAUUUCUUGAGAUGCUUGCUGGUAUAACUGGUUUUUUCUUUUACUAAGAAUCUUUUUUCCCCUUCAACUUCAGAAGUUUGUUAUGUAUUUGAAGGUUUUCACUCAGGAUUCAGCUUGCAUGUCAAAAUCUAUACAGAAUCCAUGUGUAUUUCUGAUGCUAGCGCGUUUCUUGUGCAGUAUUUAAUAGAGAGAAUUUAUUAAAACUCCAGAGAUAAUCAUUUGACAGGCCCCAGACUGCUAGAUCUGUGUGACUGUUAGAUAUUAGGAGCGAUUGUGAAUACUUGAUAUAGAGUCAGCAUUCUAGCUUUUUUAAUAAAAAACAAUCAUGCUUUAAACAGGUGAAUUUCAGCUCGGGACGUUAUUUCCAAGGUGGAAAGGGAGAUGUUGGGUCCCAUCUUCCUUUUGAUGCUGGCUUUGAGGUCUGGGAAAAAUCUAUUUCUGUUGUCGCAUUUUGCAAUAUCCAAUAAUGCUGAUUUUCUUGGCAUAGUUUUGUGGUUCCUCUAGCAGCACCAUAUAUUUGUUAUACUCAUAAUGGUAUCUUCAUUAUGGACAUGGCAGGCUGUGGGGAUAAUCGCUGCAGUUGGUGAUUCUGUCAAGGAUUUGAAAGUUGGCAUGCCUGCUGCACUGAUGACUUUUGGAAGCUAUGCAGAAUUUACAAUGGUAAAAUUAUANNNNNNNNNNNNNNNNNNNNNNNNNNNNNNNNNNNNNNNNNNNNNNNNNNNNNNNNNNNNNNNNNNNNNNNNNNNNNNNNNNNNNNNNNNNNNNNNNNNNUUUUUACAUAAUUCAAUGAUGAUGUCCAACAAUUAGUCUAUUGAUAAGGUAACUUGCUAAAGUGAAAGGUGCUGAAGAAGACGCCAUGAAUUAGGGAGUCGUUAAGUAAGGAUAGUUGAAAAUAAAAUUUUGAAGAACACCCUGCAGUCACGUCUAACUCUUAGAGGUCCACUUAACUGGCUUUCUAUCUACAUGCUUGCCAAGCUUGCUUGUAUACUUGAAUGUUACUCCUAAUCUUUUCUUUAAUAGGUGUAUGAUCUUGUCAUGAUCAGGUAAUGUGAUGUGUCUAAUCAUAAUACGGUAUCUAUAGGGGUUUGCUUAUUUACCCUUCUGUCCCGAGUAGUCAAGAACAAUAAAAAUUAUACCCUCCUGCAAAUUUAGGCGAUUGUUAUCCAGACUUCUGGCUAUCUAGUUGUCUAAUUUUCCAUUGUUGAUUUUUCCAGUUGUAGACUUAGAAGAAUUAAGAAGUUACCUUAAGUUGCUUUUGCAUAUUUGCAUGUAGCCUUGUGUCCUUGCAUUCAUGAUUCCAGCCUUGUGUCCUUGCAUUCAUGAUUCCACGUGUUUGCUAAAAGGGAAGAAUUACACUGCAGCUUGCUGAUAUUAUUGUUUCUGAUAUGUUAGCUUUCUUCUGGAAGAGAAGAAUCUCUUCUUUCUUAGACACAACAUUGCAUGUGCUUAACUAUGUUCCUCAACUGCUCACAUAAUUAUACACUACUAAGAGUCACUUUGUCUAUCGUGACCAUUUCAGCUUGCAAAAGUUGCUGGAAAUACAGUAGUAGCAACCUGUGGAGGGAGGGAGAAGGCCAUGCUUUUGAAAGAUUUGGGAGUUGAUCGUGUGAUAGAUUAUAAAGCUGAAGACAUCAAAACUGUAUGUCUCCUAAAAAUCUGUCUCAUCUGUUCAACUCUCCUUUUUGCACACAAUAUAGGGGUUGAGAAAUCAAGGACCCUGAUUCAUUCAAGUAGUGUAGCAAAUUAUUUCUAGAUAAGUUCACUGUCACACACGUCUCAGUAGAUACUAAUAUUGAUUAGGUAAAAGUAAAUGAGCAUAUUCAUCCACAUAUGCACAGAUACUAUCAUAUCUACUCGUGCAAAAUUAACGUGUACAUGAAACCCUGGAAAUUCUCUUUACCUUCAAUAUUCAUUUUAUUUUUGAAAUGCAGUGCUACUCCAUGAUCCUCCAUGCGAAUCCUUUUUGAUAUGGAUCUACUUGGCUGGAUUUGUAAUCGAUUCCUAUCACCUAUUCAAUGUCUGAAGAAUAAAUUUAGCCUUUUGUCAAAAAGUCGUCUUUGGCCCUCCAUUGGGCUCUGGCGUCUGAAUGCCACUGACAUUCUCUGCAUUUUCAUGUUACAAUUUUCCUAUCCUUAAAAGAGGUGCAGAAGAUAAAAAGGUGAUGGUGUUAUGGAACCUUGUUUUUUCUCAUAUGGGAAUCUCUGAAGUGAACAACAGUGUGCCUUAGUAACUGGUUUACUCUUUGACAUUUUUUGUAUUUUCAUACCAUGUCUCAUAUAGCUAGCUGCAGCCUUCCCUUGUUCAUGAACUUUAUGCAGUUUAAUUACUAUUUUCUAUAUUGUAACGAUUCUUGUAGGAUUAUGUUUGGAGUCUAGACCGGUUUCUGCAUUUUUCUCUCCUUUUGGGUUUAGUUUUUUUGUGAAAUUUCAUUUAAAAUGAAUUCAUUUAUCAUGAUUUACAAGAUAAUGCAUGAUACUCAAAUAAAAUUUUAUGUAAUGAGCUUUUUCUCUAUCUUUUCCAAAUUUACAGGUUUUGAAGAAGGAAUUUCCAAAAGGUGUUGACAUAGCUUAUGAGUCUGUUGGUGGGGAAAUGUUUGAUCUUUGCUUGAAUGCUUUGGCCAUAUUUGGACGAUUGAUUGUAAUUGGCAUGAUUUCUCAGGUAUUGCAUCCUUAUGUUGUUGACAUCCAUCUGGACCCGAUCUUUUAUCAUGAGUUUCCAGCAGUUCCAAUGUGAAACUUAGUUAUCUCGAUUAGGCUGUGCGGGAGCUUUUACAUUCUUGCUCUCACUUUCAGUGAGAUACCAAUGAAAGGAAAGUUAGGUUUCUGAAGUUUUUGUAUGAGUCUUGUGGUCGUAAUGCAUGGUAGAAGUUCUACUGCAAUCACAUUUCUGUGCUACAGAGGGUCGCAAGACAGACAUGAAGAUGUUUUGCUUUGUAUAAUGGGGAAUAUUGGUUAGAGAUGCUAGGGAAAUAAAGAAGACUGUGCAUGGAGUCUUUGUAGCAAGUGCUACAUGUUUUCUAUCAACAUGCAUGUAUGUUUUUUCUCCAGUGUCUCCUGUAGUUGCGGUCUGUUCCCUUGGUAUGCAUACUGUUCUAACAUUCUUCUUGCUUGAGUAUUAACUAUUGACAGUUGUACAUAAUUUUUAACCGGUACAAAAUUACUACUUUGAUUGUAGUAUCAAGGAGAGCAUGGAUGGACACCAAAUAAGUACCCUGGACUUUGCGAGAAACUUCUGUCUAAAAGCCAAACUGUGGUAUGUUUGAUAACACUACUGCGUAAAGGACAGUGAUUGUACUCUACUGCGAUAAUUUUGCUCUUGGUGAUGCGCCAACUAUAUAUCAGGAAUAAGCAUGGACUGUGAAUUCUAUAGUUGUUUAUGCCUUUCUCCCCUUGAAGUGUAUGAUAUGAUAUUGACAAUGUUGGCAGGCUGGUUUUUUCCUGGUACAAUAUAGUCACUUCUGGCAAGAACACCUAGAUAGACUGUUUCAACUCUAUUCCAGAGGACAACUCAAGGUACUGCUCUUCUUCUUUUUUUAACUUUUCUUUUACUGGUGAGACCUGACUCUUCCAUCAUAGAUCAUGCUGAACUUACAUUUCAUUAAUUGUAGAUAUCUGUGCCUUUUGCACAAUGCAAGGCCCUUACUUUCCUGUUAUCUUAUUCCUUCAGCCUUAUUU
rnacentral:lncRNA from 1 species